GACGAACGCUGGCGGCGUGCUUAAUACAUGCAAGUCGAGCGAGGUCCAUCUGGUGGCAACACCAGUGAAGGCCGAGCGGCGAACGGGUGAGUAACACGUGAGCAACCUGCCCCGAAGUCUGGAAUAACAUCGGGAAACCGGUGCUAAUACCGGAUCGCCCCACCUGACCGCAUGAUCGGGUGAGGAAAGAUUUAUCGCUUCGGGAGGGGCUCGCGGCCUAUCAGCUAGUGGUGGGGUAACGGCCUACCAAGGCAUCGACGGGUAGCUGGUCUGAGAGGACGACCAGCCACACUGGGACUGAGACACGGCCCAGACUCCUACGGGAGGCAGCAGUAGGGAAUCUUGCGCAAUGGGCGAAAGCCUGACGCAGCAACGCCGCGUGGGGGAUGAC
rnacentral:rRNA from 1 species